rnacentral:misc_RNA from 1 species
UAAAUUUGCAGGCGUUGGUGCUUCUUUUCUCACAAGAAGCCGCAGUGCUAUGCAGAGUUUUAAGUGAGGUGGUUCACCAAUCAUUAUAAUAAUUGAACUUCUCUAUGGUAUAUAUUAAAAGUAGCGUUGCUGCUGAGCAUGUAUCUUUGCUCAGGGAGUAUUUUGCCAUUUUUUGAUGGCUGCUGAAUUUUGUAGAGCCAAUAUUUACCGAGGUACUUAGUAGGAUACAUGUGUAAGUUCAGGCUAGAAAUUGUUUAGAUAAGCUGAAGAAAGGAAAAACAGGAA